AGAACGAACGCUGGCGGCGUGCUUAACACAUGCAAGUCGAACGUGAUUGAGAGCUUGCUCUCAUGAAAGUGGCGCACGGGUGAGUAACACGUGGAUAAUCUGCCUGGCGAUUCGGGAUAACACUUCGAAAGGGGUGCUAAUACCGGAUAAGCCCACAGUCCUUGUAGAGUGCGGAAAGGGGAC
rnacentral:rRNA from 1 species